rnacentral:rRNA from 1 species
UAGGGAAUCUUCCGCAAUGGACGAAAGUCUGACGGAGCAACGCCGCGUGAGUGAAGAAGGAUUUCGGUUCGUAAAACUCUGUUGUUAGGGAAGAAAAAAUGUAUAGUAACUAUAUACAAAAGAGACGGUACCUAACCAGAAAGACACGGCUAACUACGUGCCAGCAGCCGCGGUAAUACGUAGAUGGCAAGCGUUGUCCGGAAUUAUUGGGCGUAAAGCGCGCGCAGGUGGUUUAGAAAGUCUGUUGUGAAAGCCCACGGCUCAACCGUGGAGAGUCAUUGGAAACUAAUAAACUUGAGUGCAGGAGAGAAAAGUGGAAUUCCUAGUGUAGCGGUGAAAUGCGUAGAGAUUAGGGGUAACACCGGUGGCGAAAGCGGCUUUUUGGCCUGCAACUGACACUGAGGCGCGAAAGCGUGGGGAGCAAACAGG